AACCGAAGAGAAUGUUGUCAUAACCAUAAACCAAUUGUCAUGAAUUUCCGCCAUGACCAAUUGCGAAUGGCAAUAAGGAUGUUUUUUUUUUUUUGUAACCACAAUAACCAUCAUUAUUUUAAGAGACAAUUCAAUUUACAAUCAGAUAGUGAUGACUAUUUUAGUUUAACAGAAGCAGCUAAAAAAAUCGACGUACCUAUCCAAUGGAAGAGAUAAUUCAGUAUGCGAUUGUAUGCAAAACAAUUUGUCACCGGGUUACCGAACGAUCAAAGUGUGUAUGAAAAAUCGUACCCGGACUCUUUGGUCAAAUUCUAGAUUGAUGUCGUCUUUGGCCCACGUUACUGAUGGUUCAGGAACUCCAAUGGCUUCACACGCGAGUCGCAACUGAUCGUCUACCGACACCGUCGUGUGGCCCGGUUCUACGAUUAUUUCCGGAGGCGCUGUAUGUACAAUAAUACACAAAACACAUAGGCCACUGACUUAACAACGUGAGAACAGUUUUAUAUUAUCGAUACUGAAAUAUAAUAUUAUACAGAACACGUCUAAUUUUGACCAAAAACAGUGAUUGUCUAAAUAACACGUCAAUGCAGACCCAAGAAGUUAUUAACACCAAAAAGUAAAUUCGACUUAACGGAUGUAAGCUGCAGUUAUAAUAAUUUAAUAAAUAGGUAUGUGUUCAUACAUAUAUAUGUUUUAAUAUAAAAAUGUUAUUAAAUAAUGUCAAUUAUAUUUUUAUACUUUCUAAAUAUUAUUUUUAGGUAUUUUAAACAAUUUCAAGAUACUUAUUCAAAGUUCUCAUUAAAUUGUAAAUUGUAGACUACCUUUGACUUCCAUAUGAGUUUUCUCAGUAAGCAUAAUUGUCGUCAAUUUGAUGGUUUAUUAAAUUUGAUCUAUCCGCUCUUUGACAGGUAUAAUACCUAAUUGAAUACAAAUAUUGAUCAAAUUCAAUUCAUUAUUUUACAGUUGUAAAAAACACGAUAUUGCGUGUGUUAAAUUUACAGUUGAUGUGUUCUAUGGACUGAAACAAAACUACGAAACUGAACGCGGCGAGAGGAGAAAAUCGAUUAAGUCGGAGGUACACAU